GUCCCAGUGAGAAGUGGGAUACGGAAGAUAAACGGGUGACGCCAGCAAACUACCCGAGGAAGAAACUGGCCAUAAAAGAGGACUAGAAGGGAGGGAAGCGCAGAACCCUGCUCCCCUCCCCCGCCCACAGAGGCGGCACUCUCCGACCGGCAGAGAGGAGGGAAACAACAAACCAAAACGACCAACAAGAACAAACGACGCAGCAAGCGGGACUGUGAGUGGAAAGGAACUAUUGCAGCCACCACACCCCGUGAACGGGAGCUGAGGCGAACCCUGCAGGAUCCGCCGCGGCGGUGAGCGAAGGCUCCGGGCGCCAUUAGAGAAGAACAAAGACCCCGGGAGACGCGCACACAGCCCGGGCUGCCGACUAGUAACCAUCUAUGGCCUGGCAGUGAUCCCAGAAAUGCCCUUGAUGGCAGGUAUCCAGGCUGAGAGGUGGGCACUGGCUUUGCAGAGCCUCUCAAGAGAUUUGCCAGAAGGAAGAAGACUCCUGCCCCCCUGCCCCCUAGCAGGCCUUUCUGGUUCCCAGCCAGUCAAUCCCCAGCAGUUCCCACCAGGCACACGGGUCUGAUUUGUGAUUGGACCCCACCUUCCACCCCAUCUGCCUCCCCGGGCCUUCUUGAUGGACACUUUUAUUGAAGUGUCCCAGUCAGUGGCCGUGUCACUAUAUCAAACUUGGUCCAAGCAUCAGCUCCUACAGGAAGUCACCCUGGGCCGGCAGCCAAACCAAGAGCCUCCAUCUGUGCCUCCACAUCAUAGAACAGUCCCCCCACACUUGCAUAGAAUGGCUGCAAUGCAUGGGCCAAAGACAACAUGCAGACGAACUCUGGCUACAGGCCACCACUUUGUACCUUGGGAUCGAGCAAGAUGGACCCAGCCUGAAAAGCCAAGGGAGAGCUAUCCUUUCUUCUAGAAAAUUUGGUUCAUGCCCCUUGGGGGUGAAGACAAAGACGGUGCCCCCAGCAGACCACGGGAGUCACCUGCCCAGAAAUAAUGAUUUAAUUCAACCUUUCACUGUGUGCCAAGCUCUGUGCUGAUACUGGGAUCCUGUGGUGAAUGUGACAGGUGAAGUCUCUGCUUUGGGGGCCCUUUAUUCUAGCUGGGGAGACAUAUUUGAAAAUAACUUCUUAUGAAUAGAGCUGUGAUACAUGAGGAACUGCAGCAUUUAAAGCAUUUAGACUCCUGACUCUAGCACUCCUAGUAUGUCACUGUGGGUAAAUCACCUAAUCGAAGCCUCAGUUGCCUCAUUUCUUGCCUAUGAAAUGGGCAUAAUGUUAUGGGGUUGUUCUGGGGAUUGAGAUAAUUCAAAUUAUUAGCUCCUGCUGUGGAGUCGAGAUCUGUGAGAACACUUGCGAGCCUGAGCAGAAGACCCCUACUGACACCCUCCCCCACCCUAGGCCAUAUCGGGCUUCUUGCCAGAGAGGGGAGCCAGAGGCCUGUACCACCGUUCUGCUGGGGUGGGGCAGCAGUGGGCAUCUGGCUAGCCUUGCCUUUUUCUUCUUCCCUUGGGCCCCUUUCACAGCCCACUUGUCUUCAAAAGGACUUGUCCAAGGGCAGGGAAGGUACUUCUCUUGACCACACAGGGUGAGAACCCCUCCACUGAGACUGCUGCAUCUCGGAACUCAUCAAACCCUACAACUAAGUUUUUUUAAAUCCGGGUGCCUGUAUAAAAACAAGUCAACAAAACUUCCUGGGAGCCCUUAUGUGCAGAACACCAACUUCCACUGCCAGAGGCCUCCGACACUGGGACACUUUGGACCUUUUAUUUGACGUGGACGAAGAGGGCGGAGGAAAACAGCCAGACUUAAGUGCUGACACUGUUUCUGGGGCCUGGAAGUUCAGCUCAGUGGGGGAAACAUCAGUGGCCAAGACUACUCCCUGGUUCCAGGUAGAGAAGACCCAGAACCACAGCUUUGGAUUUGGAAGGGAACUCCAGGGCAUGUGAUCCAACCUCCGGCACAAGGGGGAAGCUUCUCUAAGGGAGCAGGGCCUUCAUCUUCCAAUUGUUCCUGAAUUAAAUGUUCAGAGAACUGAAUUAACAGUAAAGCCACCAAACCCUGCUCUGGAGGACAGAUUUGCCCAGGGUGCUGAGACACCCACCACUGGAAAUCAGAACUCUCCACUGGGGGAAUAACACUGAUGGUAGAAAGGAAUAUCUUUCUGAAGGGCUGGUGGGUGGGGAUGAGACCUCGUCCCCAGAAAUAUCAAGAGAAGGUCAGUCUUUUUAAGGAGGGUGGCAUUGGAUGGAUCUGGGCAGAGUUGAGUUUUUCAGCAAGAGAGGGGGCCCCCAAGCUGCCAGAGCAGCCCCCCACCCCUCCGCUUGUGCAGGGCUGAAGUCAGUGGGCCUAGAUUAUACUCUUACCAGCUGACGAUCUGGGGCAAGUUACAUAACCUUCCCUCCCAGCUUACAUCUACAUCACAGGGCUGGGAUUGAGAACUUACAUAACAGUGACUGGAAGUAACUGCUCAAUAAGUAGGUUUGUUUGUUAAGGUCUCACCAUUUCCCUGUCAACAGUGGAAUUUGCCCACCUCUGGUUCCCAGGUUCCUCAGUGUGGUGCAGGUCACAUCUAGGGCUCCAGGGGAACCCUCCUCCCCAGCUCAGACCCUCACCACCUCAUCUCUGCCCUGCCUCCACAGCCUCUGGCUGAGGUCUCCAUGGCAUCCUCCUGCCAAUUCAUCCCGCCCCAUUCUCUCGCCCUCAAAAUGACCUUUCAGUGCACACCACCAACCUGUGAUCUACAGCCUUCAAAGGGUCGCCGUCGCUUAGGAUAAAGGAAAUGGAGUCGGGCCCCUUCUCUGAGGUCCUGUGGUAACUACGGCGGGUUCUGAGCAUGCUGCAAGUACCAGCUUGCCAAGGCUUUAAUAAUUGCUUGGGUCCAUAUUUGACUUCUCUAAGGACUUGCUCAACUUUUCCCUCCUUUAAGCAUCUCUGACCACUGAAGCCCGUGGUUAUUCCCUCCAUCAAACCACUAUAGUACAGACAUCUGGUUGAGAACAACAUUCUCACAUGUCCUGCAGCUCUCCUCCUCCCCUCGUGCCAAGCACACAACAGCUGGAAUACCAUUGCAUCUUUUCAUCUUUAGUGUACAGGUAUAGUCCAAUGGGUAGAACACUCUAGAGGUUUGUUAAAUAUGGGGCUGGGGCCUUCUUUACAUCCUUCAGACCUCUUUUGUACUGAGGCCAAUCACCAUGUCCAAGUACAAAAGCCUCAGGAAGAAGGGAUGGCCUCUUUUCUCCCUCAAGCCAAAGGAAACAGAGCAUGCGUUGCAGCGACAGCCCCAGGCUGCUGUCACAAGACCAGGGCCUUACGAGACUAGCUGAUGACAGAAGUGCUGCCAGGAGAGGCCGGAGAUGCCCACUGGGGUCAGGACUGAGGACACCCAGGCCAGGGGAGUCACAGACUGACACUUCAGAAGCUAUACCUGCCCCCGCCCCCCAAAACCCUUUUCCUCCAAGUUAUAGGCAAAGAGCUUUGGAGUGGUGGGUACUUAAUUAAACCUAGCUCAGCCAUCUUGUCUUAUCUAGGAGAAAAUUGAGGGCUAGGACUAAACGCUUCUGUAAAGGGCAGAGGUGAAACAGAAAAGCCAGGGGUUCUGAUUUUGCCGAUAAGAUGUACUCCCUUCAGUUCCCUGCUACACUGCUGUCACGAGGUGGGCACUCAGAACCACCGUCUGACACCAAGCCGCAGCCACCAUGGCGUUGUAACUGGGGAAUCCUCUCCACUCAUCUUGAUCCUUUGCCUUUCCCUGAGCUGUUCCCAUGCCCACAUCCUUUAUGAACAAAUCUGCUGCCAUCUGUAGGACACCUAGUAUCAUUACUCCUAAUUUCUAUCUUCAGAUAUUUACAUGCCCAAUUCUAAGGACUGGAUUUCCGAGGCACCACCUCACCCACGCAAACAAACACCUACCAUGUGCCAGAAACCAAGGAACUGAGGAUGGACGAUGCCGAGUCCCUGCACACAAGCCUCACUGUGUCCUCUUUGUUGUCUGAACCUAUUACACUCAACUACACUUGAGCUUGCUCUUGUGUGCCCUGCGAAGUCCUAACUUUCAAUUCAGAUUUUUUUCCCCAGAAUUCUAACAAGUGAUCAUUUAGUCUAAUU